CCUACGGGAGGCAGCAGUAAGGGAUAUUGGUCAAUGGGGGAAACCCUGAACCAGCAACGCCGCGUGAGGGAAGACGGUUUUCGGAUUGUAAACCUCUGUCCUCUGUGAAGAUGAUGACGGUAGCAGCGGAGGAAGCUCCGGCUAACUACGUGCCAGCAGCCGCGGUCAUACGUAGGGAGCGAGCGCUGUCCGGAUUUACUGGGUGGAAGGUGUGCGUAGGCGGCUUGGCAAGUCAGUAGUGAAAUCCAUGGGCUUAACCCAUGAACUGCUAGUGAAACUGUCGAGCUUGGGUGAAGUAGAGGUAGACGGAAUUCCCGGUGUAGCGGUGAAAUGCGUACAGAACGGGAGGGACACC
rnacentral:rRNA from 1 species